CCAUCUCAUGUUCAUACAUGCCUUGUGUACGGGCUUCAUGGUUAUACCCUUUCAUAGGGAUUGAAGAAUGGAUCACAGCUAGCAAGCAAGUCUUUCCAGAUGGCGGAAUGGCACUCAUGUGCUCAGGCCUGGGUGGCAAGCACUUGACCAGCUGAGCAAGCACUCCAGCCCACUCUGCUUUUCUGUCUUCCUCAUUAGAAGGGGGUUCCCCAAAAAGCAAGCACACCUCCUCUGUCUUCUCCAUGUGUACUUGUUUAUAAACGAUGGAGCAGACCAGCGAGAGAGCUCAGCUCAGCAGAAUCAGUGAGAAGAGAGAGGGUCAUCAAGCUGGCUUAUUGGGUCAAGGACACUUGGUGCCAAGCUUGAAGACCUGAGUUCAAUCCCUGGGGAACCUACAGGGUAGA
rnacentral:sRNA from 1 species